UACGGAGGGUGCGAGCGUUGUCCGGAAUCACUGGCGUAAAGGGCGCGUAGGCGGCUCCAUGAAGGCUGUGGUGAAAGUCCGGGGGCUCAACCCUCGGAUCGGCCCGUGGCGACUCGUGGGGCUGGAGCACUGUAGAGGCGGGUGGAAUUCCGGGUGUAGCGGUGGAAUGCGUAGAGAUCCGGAAGAACACCAGUGGCGAAGGCGGCCCGCUGGGCAGUGGCUGACGCCUGAA
rnacentral:rRNA from 1 species